AACGCACAUUGCGCCCUUUGGCAUUCCGAAGGGCAUGCCUGUCCGAGCGUCAUUAUCCUCCCUCAAACCUCGCGUUUGGUGUUGGACCGUGUCGGGGGUCUCGCCCCCCAACUGGUCUCAAAGACAAUGACGGCGUCCGUGGGACCCUCUUCGCACUGAGCUUUCCGGAGCACGCGUCGAGUUUCAAGGUCCCGGGGGCCCGGUCACCUAUUUCUCUUUCUAGGUUGACCUCGGAUCAGGUAGGAAUACCCGCUGAACUUAA
rnacentral:misc_RNA from 1 species